AAGCUCAAAACAAGGAGACUCAACAAUUACAGACUCCUCACCGCAAUCAGCUACUACUCUAGACUCACCAAAUGCAACAACUAAAGACCCAAAAGACCAUCAACAGCCACCAACACCUCAAUCACCACCGCCUGAUCUUCUUAGCAUUUAAAGUGUUCUUGAGAGGGAGGGGUAUUGUUUGUUCUUUAAAUUCCAUGAAUUGUGUUAGUUUUAUCUUGUGGGUUUUUUUUUUUUUCCUUUAUCAAUCUCUU
rnacentral:misc_RNA from 1 species